CGCUGCUCAUUCAACUGGUUAUGAUGGUAUGGUGAAGGUCUAUCAUGCUCAUAACAUCUGGAAUGACGCCAAAAGAUAAGGUGCCUAUCGUCCAGCUUUAUUGAUAACUGCCUUUGGGCUUUAUCACACAUCGGACGACACGUUGAGUGAGGCACCGCCUA
rnacentral:sRNA from 1 species